CCCUGGAAGAUGAGAAGAGCCUGUCCCCCUCGGUUGCAGCAAUAGUGCUGGGUCAGUUUGGGUCCUUCAGGAAGAUGCCGAGGUGAGGGACUUCCCUGGCGGUCCAGUGGUUGGGACUCCGGGCUUUCACUGCCGCGAGCACAGGUUCGAUCCCUGGUCGGGGAGCUAAGAUCCCACAAGCCGCGCGGCACGGCAAAAAACAACAACAAAGAGAAAAGAAGAUGCCAAGGUGUGAUGGAGCCUUUGCUCUCUGGUUCCCCGUAAACCCAGUGCUGGCCUGAAGCAGGUGCUCACAUGCAAAUCGGUUUGACCUUGAGCCUGACCCCGAAGAAUUUCCCGCUGACACAUAGCACCUCUCCAAGACCCCAUGGAGAGCUGGAACAGGCUGAGGCCAGAGCAGGAAAAAGGUGAAGUUCAAAACUGGAUCCAGACCCAGCAGAGAAGAAUGAGACCCAGACAGGUGGGUGUCCUUUUCCUCCCCUGCUCUCCUCCCCUCUAGUCCCUGCUGAAGGGGUACCGACUCCCCCCCGAGCCCCCCGCUAACUCCAUUUGUUCUGGAAUGUGCCACGCUUCACCCCCGAUGCCCC